rnacentral:rRNA from 1 species
UAGGGAAUCUUUGGCAAUGGGGGGAAACCUGAACGAGCAACGCCGCGUGAGUGAAGAAGGUUUUCGGAUCGUAAAGCUCUGUUGUUAAGGAAGAACGAGUGUGAGAAUGGAAAGUUCAUACUGUGACGGUACUUAACCAGAAAGGGACGGCUAACUACGUGCCAGCAGCCGCGGUAAUACGUAGGUCCCGAGCGUUGUCCGGAUUUAUUGGGCGUAAAGGGAGCGCAGGCGGUUAUAUAAGACUGAAGUUAAAGGCAGUGGCUCAACCAUUGUAGGCUUUGGAAACGGUUUAACUUGAGUGCAGAAGGGGAGAGGGGAAUUCCAUGUGUAGCGGUGAAAUGCGUAGAUAUAUGGAGGAACACCAGUGGCGAGGGCGACUCUCUGGUCUGUAACUGACGCGGAGGCUCGAAAGCGUGGGUAGCAAACAGG